CCCGCACAAGCGGUGGAGCAUGUGGUUUAAUUCGAUGAUACGCGAGGAACCUUACCAGGGCUUGACAUACACUGGAAUGGGCGUGAAAGCGUCCAGCCCCUCGGGGCCGGUGUACAGGUGGUGCAUGGUUGUCGUCAGCUCGUGUCGUGAGAUGUUGGGUUAAGUCCCGCAACGAGCGCAACCCUUGUGUUUAGUUGCAAACAGGUCAAGCUGUGCACUCUAGACAGACUGCCGUGGACAACACGGAGGAAGGUGGGGAUGACGUCAAAUCAUCAUGCCCCUUAUGAUCUGGGCUACACACGUGCUACAAUGGCCGGUACAACGGGCAGCGAAGGAGCGAUCCGGAGCGAAUCCUAAAAAGCCGGUCCCAGUUCGGAUUGCAGGCUGAAACUCGCCUACAUGAAGUUGGAGUUGCUAGUAAUCGCGAAUCAGAAUGUCGCGGUGAAUGCGUUCCCGGGUCUU
rnacentral:rRNA from 1 species